rnacentral:sRNA from 1 species
UUAUCGCGUUAGGGAUUGUAGCGGUAUCCUUUUUGCGAUGAAAAGCAAAAAGAUAAAGUGAAAGCCCGACCCUUG